GGGCAGAAUUUGGCAUGCAGAAAACAUCCAGCUGCAGUCAGCAGAGAAAUCCACCAGCUUGGCUUGAGAAUCUCCCAGGGAAUUUUGUAAGGCUGGCUGCAGAAGGGCUUGGUGUUGUGGUAGGAGAAUAGGCAGUUUAUUUCUUUUCCACAUGAACUCAACAGUUUUGGUCUGCAUACAGGAAAGAAAGCAUCAUGGAAGUGUAUGCUAUGGCUGUCCUGCCUGUGCAAGGGCUUCUCUUUUCCAUGGCGUAUUAGAGAAGAUGGAUGACAGCACCAGCUCAUCUGUGGCAACUUUUCAUAAACAGUGAGGAAUUCGGCCAUGUGGAGUGGCACAGAGAUUGACCAGGCUGGUGUGAAUCCUCUCCUAUUUGCUCUCUAUCAAGAAAAGCAAAACAAAGAAACUCAGCAAACGUGCAUCCAAGAGUCUCUAGAUAAUAAAAGCUCAAAAGAAGUGGCAGUGCCUCACAUAUGCUGUGCGUAAGCACAAGGACAAUUACUUCAGCAGGAUUGGCACAGAGCAACUUGAAGCACCAUAAAUCACUAUGUGCAGUUUGCAGUCCAUAAUGGCUCUGGUUGCAAACAAGGCUUUCAGCUCAGGAGAGCUUUUCCUAAGGCUUUAAUGAGAGACAGUAGCUCUCAACCAUCGACAGCCCUGCUCAUUUCAAGGGGCGCUGCCUCACGUGUCCUCAAUGAUGCUUUAGAUAGUGUUUCAAAGCUUUUCCCUCUUCUAGUGCUUGUGGAAGGACUGAAAGAUUUACAGUGGCACUUGAUUAACAGCAGAAAGGAUGAUAGAGGAUAUAUAAAUCAAGGAGAGAAAGACUUUAAAGAUAGGUUAGUGCUGUGAAGAAGCAUGCUUGCACAAAGGGGAUGCCAUUACUCAAUGUUUUGUUGGAGAAGGAUUUUAUAAGUUUGGAAAGACUGGACGGUGCUUCUAAUACUUCAAAACCAACUACUAUAGAUUAAUAA